UAUAAUGGAGCUUUCUUCUUCUUCUUCUUCUUCUUCUUCUUCUUCUUCUUCUUCUUCUUCUUCUUCUUUUUCCCUUGCACGCACUUUGGCAGUGCUGGCACUCAUAUUCUGUUUCCUGACAUGCUCGGCCACGAUCCAAGUUGCUCUGGAGGGAAGCCAUAGACCAACAAUUUCUCAACCGCCGCCGCAGCCUAAUCCAUCAUCGAAUCCGAAGCCGGAGCCAAAGCCAGUGCCCAUGCGACCACCUCCUAAAAGGCGGGCACCUCCACCACCGCCCAAGACGUCGUCACUUGUGCCGUCCCGCAAGACCCUGCAGAUUGCUGCGAGCGCCCCUUAUAUUUGAACCUCCAAUAUGCCAUUAUGUACCGUCGACGAGGGUGUUGUGCUACUUGCUUGAAUUGCAAUGAAACUUAAGAAAGUUGUUUUCUUGUAGCAGGAAAAUAAAUGAUGGACUGAAUAAUAUGCUACUCCCUGCUUCCCAGAAUAUAAGACAUUUUUGCAGUUCAUUUUUAACUGCAAAAAUGUCCUAUAUUAUUGCAGAGUAUAAAAUGGAUUUGCAGUUCAUUUUGAACUGCAAAAAUGUCUUAUAUUAUGGGACAGAGGUAGUAUAUUAUGUUGUAUGUUCCAAUAUAUAACUUUCAAUACAAAUCUGGCAACAUAGCCGGUCACAA